UACGGGGGGAGCAAGCGUUGUUCGGAUUUACUGGGCGUAAAGGGCGCGUAGGCGGCCAGCACAAGUCAGUUGUGAAAUCUCCGAGCUUAACUCGGAAAGGUCAACUGAUACUGUGCGGCUAGAGUGCGGAAGGGGCAACUGGAAUUCUUGGUGUAGCGGUGAAAUGCGUAGAUAUCAAGAGGAACACCUGAGGUGAAGACGGGUUGCUGGGCCGACACUGACGCUGAUAGCGCGAAAGCCAGGGGAGCAAACGGG
rnacentral:rRNA from 1 species